rnacentral:misc_RNA from 1 species
CUAGAAUUGGGUAUUAAUUUUGUUGAAAAAAAAAAAAAAACGCAAAUCCCCAAUUUAAUCAAUGCAAUCAAACAUAAAACAUGAAAUUGAACAAAACCCAAGUAUUCAACAUUUCAAACACAUAACAAGAAAUCCAACAAAAUAGAGCAGUCCUCCUCAUCUUCAAGAUCAGAUCAGAGGAGAAGGAGAGAAGCAGAACGUUGUUGAUGACUUAGAGGAGAAGCCACUGUCUUCGUCUCCAUGACAUGGGUCUCGUUGGAUCUGCACAUGUGGCUUCUAUGUUUUCUCUUAUUAUAGCACAUGCAGACUCAUCUCGUAGAGAAUGAGGAUGAGACUGAGAAAGUCUUCGUGAAGGAGAUGAUGCCGAGGGAAGAUGAAAUAAAAAGGGUCUUCAUGAAGGAGAUGAAAAUAGAGAAAAUGGGGCAAUGGGUCAUCGGUGGUCGAAGCG